GGAUAGCGGCCACUGUUGUAGGCGAGAAGUUGAGAAGGUAGGAUACCUAAGGUUAUUUCAUUUUUAUCUGGAAGCAACGAUAAACCAUUGCUUGAUGAAAGGCGAUUCUGAACGCUGUUCGGCACUACAUAAUUUUUGCGAUUUUCUUUUAAAAUUGAUUUUAAAACGCUUCAUAAAAAAUAAAAUUCGUCCGAUGAUUUUAUAAAUUUUACCACGUUUAAAUAAGUCCGAUAUAAG